GAUGAAGAACGUAGCGAAAUGCGAUAAGUAAUGUGAAUUGCAGAAUCCGGUGAAUCAUCGAAUCUUUGAACGCACAUUGCGCCCGCCAGCAUUCUGGCGGGCAUGCCUGUUCGAGCGUCAUUUCAACCCUCGACCUCCCUUUGGGGAAGUCGGCGUUGGGGACCGGCAGCACACCGCCGGCCCUGAAAUGGAGUGGCGGCCCGUCCGCGGCGACCUCUGCGUAGUAAUCCAACUCGCACCGGAACCCCGACGCGGCCACGCCGUAAAACACCCAACUUCUGAACGUUGACCUCGAAUCAGGUAGGACUACCCGCUGAACUUAAGCAUAUCAAUAAGCGGAGGA
rnacentral:misc_RNA from 1 species